UCAACGGGUUAGCAAUAAUUCGGUGGUCCUAGUGGCGCACGGGUGAGUAACACGUGGGUGACCUGCCCUUGAGCUCGGGAUACCCCCUCGAAAGGGGGGCUAAUACCGGAUACGUUCCCCGGUCGAAAGACUGGGGAGGAAAGGUGGCGCAAGCUGCCGCUCUUGGAGGGGCUCGCGGCCUAUCAGCUAGUUGGCGGGGUAACGGCCCACCAAGGCGAUGACGGGUAGCUGGUCUGAGAGGACGACCAGCCACACGGGGACUGAGACACGGCCCCGACUCCUACGGGAGGCAGCAGUGGGGAAUUUUCCGCAAUGGGCGAAAGCCUGACGGAGUGACGCCGCGUGUGGGACGAAGGCCUUCGGGUCGUAAACCACUGUCAGUGGGAAAGAUGGGGGUCGGCGCUAAUACCGCCGGCAUCUGACGGUACCUGCAGAGGAAGCCCCGGCCAACUCUGUGCCAGCAGCCGCGGUAAGACAGAGGGGGCAAGCGUUGCUCGGAAUUACUGGGCGUAAAGGGCGCGUAGGCGGGAUGGCAAGUCGGUCGUGAAAUCCCUCGGCUCAACCGAGGAACGUCGAUCGAUACUGCUGUUCUUGAGGAUUGCAGAGGAGACUGGAAUUCCCGGUGUAGCGGUGAAAUGUGUAGAGAUCGGGAGGAACACC
rnacentral:rRNA from 1 species